GAGUUUGAUCCUGGCUCAGAGCGAACGCUGGCGGCAUGCUUAACACAUGCAAGUCGCACGGUCAGCAAUGGCAGUGGCGGACGGGGUGAGUAACACGUAGGAAUCUAUCUCUGGGUGGGGGACAACAGUGGGAAACUACUGCUAAUACCGCAUGAUACCUGAGGGUCAAAGGCGUAAGUCGCCUGGAGAGGAGCCUGCGUCUGAUUAGCUUGUUGGUGGGGUAAAGGCCUACCAAGGCUACGAUCAGUAGCUGGUCUGAGAGGAUGAUCAGCCACAUUGGGACUGAGACACGGCCCAAACUCCUACGGGAGGCAGCAGUGGGGAAUAUUGGACAAUGGGCGAAAGCCUGAUCCAGCAAUGCCGCGUGUGUGAAGAAGGUCUUCGGAUUGUAAAGCACUUUUGGCAGGGACGAUGAUGACGGUACCUGCAGAAUAAGCCCCGGCUAACUUCGUGCCAGCCGCCGCAGU
rnacentral:rRNA from 1 species